rnacentral:lncRNA from 1 species
GUUUUCUCCAUCACAACCAAAAAGUGAAGAAGCCAGGUUUCACCCUGCUACUGAUUUUUAUGUUAUUUCUGCCAUCAAACAAGACUUUGUAUGCUCCAAAGCCUCCUUUCCUUUCCUCUUACACCUACUGUAUUAAAUUGGUCUAAAACCCAAGAUUGCCUCACAGAUGUCUAUAGAUCAUGAUGGUCUCACUGUUGUUCCUGAUGCUAACCUGGUCAUCCCUACUACUAUCUUGUGGACAUCCAAUGGUAACAACUAUUACACAAUAUCCAGACAAUCUGGCUUUAGAUAUCUUCAUUUGUCAAGCAGAUGUAUAACCCAAAUGUACUUUUUUGGCUUGUUGCCAUAGAUCUUCACUUCCCCAAGUCUGUGCUCUAUUUCCCAUCCUUCAUUGCCUCCUAUAGCACCUUUGAGCUCCAGGAUCUCUUGGCUUACUGACAUCUUACCACCUGAUCACUGUGCUGUGCUUAAGACAGGCUCUCAUACAGAGAUGAGCAUUUUCAUUUUUCCAUUGCCAAAAUUAACUUUGCACCCAAUACGUUAGUAGAAAUGGAAGUACUGGGCCAAACUACCUCUAAGCACUCCUCACCCUCUCCUAUGGAUCCACUGCCUUCCCUGAACUCCAGCUGUCCUUAAAGUCUCCAAUAGGUCCUUGCUGAUGGGAGUAACGACAGCUGUAAGCUGUUGCUAUCCCUCCCAUGCCCUAACAAUCAGCAUCCAGUUCAUGGCCAAAAUAGAUGAUGGAGCUAAUGAGGACAUCUGCAUUCAUUUGGUGGUGACUGUCAGCUGUCACAGACAAGCCAAUCACAAACUGAACACUAUGAAGUGGAUUAGCUACACUGAGAAGCAAAGACAUUGUCUAUGGAUGAAAACAAUGAAUUCUUUGUUGAAGUUGCUCAAUGUACAUUCCUCUUUAUCUCCACAAGUCCCAGAGGAACAGCAGUGGAUUCCCUGCCUUACUUCAUCUCCUAGUCUGGUCCACUGUGUCUACCUUAUGCAUAAGAAGCAGCUCUGUUUCAUCACUACCAUCCUUUUCUGUUGAAAUUCUACAUCAUUAGGAGUGGUUAGCCAUUGAGUAGGUAUGUGCAGGUUGGUUGAUACAGAUUUGAGAACACUGAUCAGAUGUUAAUAAGUUGUAUUACCAAUAAGUGUGCAACUUUAAUAAUGUUACCUAACUAAUUAUUUUGCAUCAUAGUAUUUUCAAAAUAGUAAUUUAAAUCAAAUUCUCUGGAAUUUGCUAUGUAAGGUUAUGUGAUGAAUAUGCGUUGAUUCAGCCGAACUGUUAUUUUACAAAAUCAGUUGUUGUCAUGCCUUUAGUUUUGAUGCAUUU